rnacentral:rRNA from 1 species
UACGUAGGGGGCAAGCGUUGUCCGGAUUUAUUGGGCGUAAAGAGCGUGUAGGCGGUCAGGUAGGCCGGUUGUGAAAACUGGAGGCUCAACCUUCAGAGGUCGACCGAAACCCCCUGGCUAGAGUCCGGGAGAGGAGAGUGGAAUUCCUGGUGUAGCGGUGAAAUGCGCAGAUAUCAGGAAGAACACCCGUGGCGAAAGCGGCUCUCUGGAACGGUACUGACGCUGAGACGCGAAAGCGUGGGGAGCGAACAGG